CAAGUGACCCCGGUCUAACCACCGGGAUGUUCAUAACCCUUUGUUGUCCGACUCUGUUGCCUCCGGGGGCGACCCUGCCUUCGGGCGGGGGCUCCGGGUGGACACUUCAAAACUCUUGCGUAACUUUGCAGUCUGAGUAAAACUUAAUUAAUAAAUUA
rnacentral:misc_RNA from 1 species